GUGGAUGCCUUGGCAUCAGGAGCCGAUGAAGGACGUGGAAAUCUGCGAUAAGCCUCGGGGAGCCGAUAAACGGGCUGUGAUCCGAGGAUGUCCGAAUGGGGGAACCCCGCCGCAUGCGAGUGCGGUGACCCGCACCUGAAUAUAUAGGGUGUGUGGAGGGAACGCGGGGAAGUGAAACAUCUCAGUACCCGUAGGAAGAGAAAAUAAGAAUGAUUCCGGGAGUAGUGGCGAGCGAAACUGGAUGAGCCUAAAC
rnacentral:rRNA from 1 species